AGUCAGUAUCGGUAUGGCGAAUGUGUUGAUAGUUUUCACUGUGUUUUUUCCAUUCAGAUGUGUUUUCAGAAUGUUAUUUAAUCUGCUGGUAUACAGUUUUGACAAUGUUUGUUUAGUUUUCUUCUGUUCUCUGAAUCUGGCCUGCUGGAAUCCCAAAUACUUGUAUACUUCAACCUCUUCCAUGGAUUCGAUAGUGUCUCCAUUUUCAACAGCGAAGUGUCCUUUCUUUAGGGGUCGCUUUUCUAUGUGGAGUGUUUUGCAUUUGUCUACGCCAAACUUUUGCAGAUAUCUUUUGAAAAU
rnacentral:lncRNA from 1 species